rnacentral:lncRNA from 1 species
UUUUUUUUUUUAAUAACAAACAACAGAAGAUGACAGGAAACAGAAUGAGCUGCAAGGAGGAGUCCAAAUAUAUUUAUCAGAACUGAGAUUGAUGUAUCAAUAAAGACGGCAGAGUUCCUAAUAAUGCCAGAAAUUAUGGGAAUAAAAUAAUCAAAUUUCCUCAACAUUCUAACAAGGUCAAUAAAACGGAAAAAAGAGGAGUUUGUGUCAUGGCGCAGUGGAAACAAAUCCGACUAGGAAGCAUAAGGUUUCGGGUUCGAUCCCUGGCCUCCUCGCUUAGUGGGUUAAGGACCCAGCGUUGCCGUGAGCUGUGGUAUAGGUUGCAGACUCGGCUCAGGAUCCCGUGUUGCUGCGGCAACAACAGCUCCGAUUAGACCCCUAGCCUGGGAACCUCCACAUGUCGUGGGUGUGGCCCUAAAAAGAAAAAAAAAAGAGAGAGAGAGAGAAAGAGAAUAAAUCAAAUGGUUGCUUUGCCUUUGCAAUACAAAUUGUUUCCUAGAUUUUAGAAAUAAUCCAUAAAAGCACAUCUUUAAGAAUGAAUGCUAGGUAAUAAAUAUAGAGGGAUGAUAGGAUUGGAGAAUAAACCUUUUGCAACCCUAAUGAAACAAUAAAUCUAGGCAACAACCAUCAAUGGCUGACGAAACAAUUAGAUGAAGGGCUGUGGGGAAAUUAUAAUGGUAGAUCAGCCAACAACAUCAGAAGCCACCAAUCAAUCUUAUCAAGACAAGAGAUAACCAGACUUGAGUUUUCAGAUGUGAUUCAAUAAGAAAUACAUAGUACUAGCAAUGAGAUGUUCUUGCUACAAAAGCAAACAUGAGUCUGAUCGAGCUUCUAGACCUACCUGCUCUUUCAUGGAAAAUCCAGGGAAUCAGAGGACCAUGGUAAAUGACACAUCCUAGAACGCAAUUAGCUAAAACUAGGAUGUAGGAAAUUCUAAAAACAAGGUACCUAUUGUCUUCAACAAGUUAAUGGCAAGGGAAGAAAUAAACAGGAAGAAAGAACUAUGACUAAAGAGUCUCACUGUGCACUUUUUUAUAUAUGUCUUCAUGUGAACCUUAUUUGGGACCUGACUCAAAUAAUGCCAACAGUAAACAGCCAUUUAUGAGAAAUCAGGAAAAUGUGGAUCCUGAAUGGGUAUUUAAUAAUAUUAAGACAUGACUGUUAAUUUUGAGGGCUGUGAUGAGGUUAUAAAAAUAGUCCUUACUUUUUUCAAAACAUAUGCUGAAUUUUAGCAGAUAAAAUAAAAGACUGAGGUUUGCGUCAGCAUGAUCCAUGGUGGAAGAACGUAAAGAUUACGGCUGAAAUAAAACUGGCCAUAUGUUGGUAAUUGUCGAAACGGGUUGCUGUUUCUUUACAGUAUUCUCUCUUCUGCUUUUAUUUUAAAUUUUCCAUAACGAAUGAUCAAGAGAGAUUACCUAAUAAGUUUAGAGAGAACUUGCUAUCUCUGUAACAUAAAAUGAAUUUUCAAGGCAUGGUGAGGCGUGAGAUGCAGCAUGGCAAUAACUAGUUGCAUCCCAAACCUAGAAAUCUAGACAGAGGCUCAUGCACGAUGUGGCUGGAAGAGCAACACACUGCUUUCAAGCUCCUCUUAUCUCCGCUACCCCGGCUGGUUCUGGUCUCAUGAAAACCUUCUCCACUUUCAUUUGCCAGUGUCGCUUUGGUCUCCCCCUCUCAUAUACCUCUAUCUCCUGACUCUCACACUGGUCUUCCUUUUGACAGGAAUAUUUGGAAUAUUUGGAAUCCCCAGGUCACACUGCACCUUUGGAUGGUCAUCGCCUGGACCCACCUGGCCCGCAUCAAUAUCGCUCACCUAUGAGAUCCUCAAAUUUAACCUGCCUACCCAGAGUCAGCAUUGCUUACAUUUUUUCUUAACCCUACUAUUUGCCUAAUUCUGUAUUCCUGCCCGCUAAUCUUUAUCCCUUAUGAUUUUCAGGGGUCACCUUUUUUCUCAGAUCUGUUAACUACACAUCCUCUCACCCAUAUGACCUUUUUGAGACAUGGAGCAGACGCCCAGACAGCUUCUACCUUUCGGAACAAAAAAGCAAAUAAAAAGGCAAGACUUGAUAAUCACCUCUCUUACUUGCCUCACAGCUGAAAACCUGCCACUUAUGCCAGGGUUGGGAGGAAAGAGGCAGCCACUCUUCCUGCCACAGACUCGCGACCUGCUAUCACUCACAACCCUGCACGAUGCUAUGAAACGAAAACAAGAUUUCCAUAGCAACCACCUUGCUGCCAUCCGGACUUGAGGGAAGCUCUGGGAAACAUUUGUUGGUGGUGGUUAUAAUGAUUCACCACAAACUUGGCUGCGUUUCCCCAGGGCCCACCCUCGCUCAGUUCUUCUCCGCAGAGUUUCCAAUAACUUCAAGGGGAUCAGUACAAAGAAAAAGAUACCUCCCAAUAAUCUGGCCUGUUUUUUCAAGAAUGCUUAUUUUAGCAUGACUGGAGAUGCAAUUUAAUUGAAGUCUUUUUUGGGGGGUGGCGGGGGGAGGCAGCAGGGCACCCGUUCUCCUUCUUCAUCUUCAGUAAAGAGCAUGAGGGAGAAAGGGUCACAGUUUGGCAGCUAUGGACAGGCAGGGCUUUCUUUUGUGCAAUCCUCAGAUGAAAAUACUUUUUUAUUUACCAAACACUUGAACGUUGUAUCUAGUUGCAAACAGCCUUUGGGAAACUAGUAAGCCAGACAUCAGGGAUUAGAUCAUAGGGCCUGCAGUACCAUUAAAAAGGGAAUCAUAGAAAAUUGGUUGUUUUGAACAGAGUAUGAUGAAAAUCUGGAGCCCAUACGCCACAUUUCAGAAUUCUUAGGCUGAGACUCAGAUGGGAAUGAAUCCGAAGAGGUUACAAAGAAAACACCUAAAACAUAUUCCUCUGGUUAUAUACUGAGUGGUGUUUAUUCUGGAUAGAAACACUUACAAAACAGGAUUCAUGGGUUACUUUAGGAGAAAUGUUAUGUGACAUUCUAUGUUUUAUAAUUUAUAAGCAUAUAUGUAUACUACAUUUAGGUUUGUCAAAGUCAUAAAAAUGUAAUUAGCAAUCUAAAUAUAUUUCUACUUGCUCUUAAUAUAUACCUUUAAAAAGACAGUAAACCAGAGUUCCCACUGUGGCUCAGCAAGUUAUGAACCCAACUAGCAUCCAUGAGGAUGCUGGUUCAAUCCCUGGCCUCAUUCUGUGGGUUAAGGAUCUGGCAAUAGGUCACAGAAUCAGCUCAGAUCCGGUGUUGCCAUGGCUGUGGCAUAGGGUGUGGCUGCAUCUUUGAUUCAGCCCCUGACCCUGGUACUUCCAUAUGCCACAGGUGAGGCCAUAAAAAGAAAAAAAAAAUUUAAAUAAAAAUAAAGUCCACUUAGAAAUUGUGAUUUGCUGUCAAAGCUUUAGCAUCUACAAUUUUCUCAAUUCUGGAAAAACUGUAUCUCAUGAAAGCUUGGCCAGAAAGUUAGAAAGCAACCUGAGGUGCAUUCUAUACUGACAGUCAAGGGGCUGGGGUUUUAGCUCUGGUUCAACUAUAAACGAACAUAGACUAGACUAGAACAUAGACUAGACUGUAGAUGAACAUAGAACAUAGCAUUUCUGAGCCUCAAUUCUGUUGCAUGUGAGCAAUUUGUGCUUUCUGCUUCCAAAAGGAUUUGCAUGACUUCAUAAAUUAGAAAGGUUGUGAAACUUGAGAAUUCUAGUUUUAAAAAAUUCACAGCAGAAGGCUGACCGUCUAAAAAGAUAAAUGGGAUUAGCUGUUACAGGAUUUCUGAAAGAAACUAAUUGCUAGAUUGGGAUGCUGCAUUUGAUCAAAAGUUUCCUGGUGAAAAUAAUUUUUUAAAAGAAAAACAAAUUCAACAGCAAAAACGACCUGAUUCCUGGAAAUUGACUUAAAUAGGAAUUAAUUCCUCUCCUGACUAUAAUAGAGAAUCUGGCUAACAUUGUAAGAAAUAUGUCAUUUAAUCAAUUACAGCUUUAUAAAUGGCAAAGAAACGGUGCUCUCAUGCAGGUUUCAAUUAUAAGCCCUCUCAAUAAAGACAUUAAAACAUAAAAGGAUACUGGGAUGAGAGACUGUGGCCUAGAAGUAGUGUUCCCUCAUGACUUCACCAAAGAAUAGAAGGAAAAAAAAAAAAAAACUCUUCCUCAAAUAUCAGAUGCCUUAAGAAAACUUUAUGCAAAGCAGCCUUCUGAUCAGCAUAAACUGUUUUCUCUAACGGAUUUGUAUUGCAUCUAGGCUAUAAUGAUAGCUGAGGUUCAAAAUAUAAGCCUUAGAUAUCAGAGAUAAAGGAGGUAAACUAUUUGUUAUGUUGUGGAAAAUGCUUGGUAUUUUGCCUAUAGACAGAAAGCUAAUCUGCUCUGUAUGCAUAGAGAUAUAAACACCACCCCAAAGUGAGCUAAUUAAACAAGGACUUGAAAACUUUCCACACAUCUGCACGUUAACUGUGUAGUACAGAAGAGUACUUGCACAUGUAGCAAUUUAUAGGAGUCCUUUCAUAUUAGGGUUAUAACCCUUCAUUUGAAAUUUCCAUUAUUGUUCUUGCACAAUAUCAUUUGCGUUUUGACUUUGUAUCUGGUGUCUUUUGUCAUCUUAAGCUAUAUUUAUUUUUAUAUGAUGAAUUCUACUUGCCUUUUCCUUUAUGUUGUUAAGUUUCCUAUCUUGCUUUCUGCUGUGCUUCCUGUUUUUUUCACUAUUUCCUUUUAUUGGUUAAGGUUUGGUCCAUCUGGAAUUUACCUGAACAUAUGAUGCAAGGAUGGGAUCUAACUUUGUGUCCUUCCAGACAGGCUGCCAAUUAGAACAGCACCUUAAUUAAAUAAACUUGGACUGGGUUCUAUUUAAAGUGUAAAAAAGGACACACACUACUUGAAAUUUUUUUAUUGAUAUGCAUUCGUGUUAUGCUCCCUAGAAGAAUUUCUGGCCAAUAGAUCUAGGUGCUUCUUGAAACUUAUGCUACUUACAAAAUAAAAUUACAUCACAGAAUCAAAUGACGCUGACUAUCUUUAAGGUUAAUAUAAUCUAAGAUAGACAGAAAUCAUACUUUAUUCAUUCUGUAUCCCACUAUGAUUCACGGAUUACUUUUUAUGUAUUAGGGAUUCAGCAAUACUAUUUAAAUUAGCACCGUGGAAGCAGAGCAUGUAUCUAAUUUAUCCAAGAGAAGUGAGGCUAUUUUCGAAAAGAAAAGAGGCUCAAACGCAACUACAUAUGUUCCCCCAGAAAACUCAUUUUGCAUGUGUGAUAACGUCUCAUAGUUACUGACAGUUGAGCACACUGAUGUGGUUGAUGUUUUUAUGGCUGCGCCCACAGCAUAUGGAAGUUCCUGGGCCAGGGAGCCUUAUUAACCCACUGUGUCCGGCCGGGGACUGAACCUGCGUGCCAGAGCUCCAGAGACCCUGCCCCACAGCAGGAACCCCACGUACUACCUUUUCUGUUGAGAUUGAAAUAAACUUCUAUUUAGUUUCUGCGAGUUGGUUUUGUUUUAUGCAACUGAAACCAAUCCCAACUGAGUCCAUUAAUNAAAAAAAAAAAAAAAAAAAAAAAAAAAAAAAUACAUAAUACAUCAUAAAAUUGCUUAGAAAUAGAAUCGUACAAUUUCUCACCAAUCUGUAAAAUAAAAGCCACAGGACUUUUGUUAUGAUAUAAUUUAUCAUCCAAACUAGGACUCUUGAGAGUGAAAGAG